CCUACGGGAGGCAGCAGUGAGGAAUAUUGGUCAAUGGGCGGGAGACUGAACCAGCCAAGUAGCGUGAAGGAGGAAUGCCCUAAGGGUUGUAAACUUCUUUUAUAAAGGAAUAAAGUGAGGCACGUGUGCCUGUUUGUAUGUACUUUAUGAAUAAGGAUCGGCUAACUCCGUGCCAGCAGCCGCGGUAAUACGGAGGAUCCGAGCGUUAUCCGGAUUUAUUGGGUUUAAAGGGUGCGUAGAUGGGUUGUUAAGUCAGUUGUGAAAGUUUGCGGCUCAACCGUAAAAUUGCAAUUGAUACUGGCAGCCUUGAGUUCAGUUGAGGUAGGCGGAAUGCGUGGUGUAGCGGUGAAAUGCUUAGAUAUCACGCAGAACUCCGAUUGCGAAGGCAGCCUACUAACCUCCCACUGACAUUGAUGCUCGAAAGUGUGGGUAUCAAACAGGAUUAGAUACCCGUGUAGUC
rnacentral:rRNA from 1 species